GAAUUAGAAAAGAAGCCUCUCCUUUGGGACAAAGACUUUGGUAAACACUUCUUGGCUCUGGUUUCAGAUUGCAUCAGUUCUAGAGCUAAUUCCAGGUCCCAAACUAAGAACAAGCUUUGACUUAGUUUUUAAACUGCUUUCAGAAUAGCUCGACUCUUCUUCAGGAAAUUAUCCCAGGAUUUGAAUCAUCACAAGAGUUUCACCAGAGGAUUUUAUACAUUUGGGCUGUGGCAGCAGACCAAUUACACCACAACACCAUGCUAAAGAAAAAAAAUCACAUGAUUUUAUCAGUAGAUGUUGAAAAAGCAUCUGACAAAAUCCAACCCUCAUUCAUUAUAAAAACUCUCAGCAAACUAGGAAUAGAGGGGAACUGACUCAACUUGAUA